rnacentral:rRNA from 1 species
GAUGAACGCUGGCGGCGUGCCUAAUACAUGCAAGUCGAGCGAAUGGAUUAAGAGCUUGCUCUUAUGAAGUUAGCGGCGGACGGGUGAGUAACACGUGGGUAACCUGCCCAUAAGACUGGGAUAACUCCGGGAAACCGGGGCUAAUACCGGAUAACAUUUGAACCGCAUGGUUCGAAAUUGAAAGGCGGCUUCGGCUGUCACUUAUGGAUGGACCCGCGUCGCAUUAGCUAGUUGGUGAGGUAACGGCUCACCAAGGCAACGAUGCGUAGCCGACCUGAGGGGGGGAUCGGCCACACUGGGACUGCGACACGGCCAAGACUCCUACGGGAGGAAGCAGUAGGGAAUCUUCCGCAAUGGACGAAAGUCUGACGGAGCAACGCCGCGUGAGUGAUGAAGGCUUUCGGGUCGUAAAACUCUGUUGUUAGGGAAGAACAAGUGCUAGUUGAAUAAGCUGGCACCAUGACGGUACCUAACCAGAAAGCCACGGCUAACUACGUGCCAGCAGCCGCCGUAA